UUUUUUUUUUGGUGAAAGGCAUGGUAAAAAUAAAAAAAAAUCUUAAAGUAUGUUGCAAAAAUAUUCAGAUUUUUCUUAUUUGUUUUUAUUUUACUGUUCAUAUAAAGGACCAUUUGAGCUUGGGUGGGUGGUGGCUUUUGCGACUGCCCCAAUUGCAUCAUUUAUUUAUUUGUGAACUUAACAGUCUCGUGGAGGGGUACUUCGCAAUUCCGUGGCAUAGCACAACAAGUAUCUCGACGAUGAUCAAAACGGAAGCAAUAGAAUCACGCUGGCUGACACAGGACAGGAAAACCAAUACCAGACGCUGCUCCAAUUGCUGCACCCAAUUCUCUCUUCUAACUUUGUUUCUUAAAACACUAGGGAUAUAUUUGUAUUUUUUAUCUUUUAUAGUUUUACCUGCAAAAUUUUCAGGGCAAACGACUUUUUCCUGAUCAGACUUUUAGUUUCCAUGUGUUUAUGUAACUUGAUUUUUUAUUACUCACAAAAACAUUGAUUUUCUAUUAAUGAACUACAUGGUUGCUCACAAAAACAUUUUAGAGCUCCCGUCGUUCCUGGCGUCCGGUUGUCGCAAAAAUGGAUAAAAAUGAAUGUAUCUUGAAGAACACUGAAUAAUAACUAACAAGUAGCAAAUCAAACUAAGUAUAUACUGGGACUGGGGUCAUUUACUUUAGUUUAGCCUCUCAUGACAUGACAGUAAGCAUUAGGCAAAGGCAUCAAGAUGCCUCCGUAAACAUCAUCAUCAGUCCAGUAUAUGCGUCUGGGAGCACUUAUUAACAACAUUAUGAACAAGUAAAAGAAAUUCGCGUGCUUUCGGUACACGAUUUCUUAUUUGAUCCUCAACAAGAAAACCUCCUUCCCAUGCGCCUCCAGUCUAG
rnacentral:lncRNA from 1 species